GGUGGAAUUCCUGGGCCAUGUGGUAAAUUUAUAUUUAACUUUUUAAGAAACUGCCAAACUCUUUUUCAAAGUAAUUGCACCAUUGUACAUUCCCACCAGCAAU
rnacentral:pre_miRNA from 1 species